GUGGGGAAUAUUGGACAAUGGGCGAAAGCCUGAUCCAGCCAUGCCGCGUGUGUGAAGAAGGUCUUCGGAUUGUAAAGCACUUUAAGUUGGGAGGAAGGGCAGUAAGUUAAUACCUUGCUGUUUUGACGUUACCGACAGAAUAAGCACCGGCUAACUUCGUGCCAGCAGCCGCGGUAAUACGAAGGGUGCAAGCGUUAAUCGGAAUUACUGGGAGUAAAGCGCGCGUAGGUGGUGUUGUAAGUUGGAGGUGAAAACCCCGGGCUGAACCUGGGAACUGCCUCCAAAACUGCAUGACUAGAGUACGGUAGAAGGUAGUGGAAUUUCCUGUGUAGCGGUGAAAUGCGUAGAUAUAGGAAGGAACACCAGUGGCGAAGGCGACUACCUGGACUGAUACUGACACUGAGGUGCGAAAGCGUGGGGAGCAAACAGGAUUAGAAACCCUGGUAGUCC
rnacentral:rRNA from 1 species